rnacentral:rRNA from 1 species
CAGUAGCCGCGGUAAUACGUAGGUGGCAAGCGUUGUCCGGAAUUAUUGGGCGUAAAGCGCGCGCAGGUGGUUUAAUAAGUCUGAAGUGAAAGCCCACGGCUCAACCGUGGAGGGUCAUUGGAAACUGUUAAACUUGAGUGCAGGAGAGAAAAGUGGAAUUCCUAGUGUAGCGGUGAAAUGCGUAGAGAUUAGGAGGAACACCAGUGGCGAAGGCGGCUUUUUGGCCUGUAACUGACACUGAGGCGCGAAAGCGUGGGGAGCAAACAGGAUUAGAGACCCGCGUAGUCCCUGUCUCUUAUAC